rnacentral:sRNA from 1 species
UUUUAGCCCUGAUAGAAGCGGCAUCCUCCCGACCCUUCGGGAGAUAAAGCGGAUAGCAGGAAGGGGG